CCAGCAGCUGCGGUAAUUCCAGCUCCAGUAGCGUAUAUUAAAUUUGUUGCGGUUAAAAAGCUCGUAGUUGGAUUUAUGUGAACUCUCGUUAUAUAGUGAGUAGACACAAAAUAAUUUACUUUGAGGAAAUUAGAGCGUUUCAAGCAAGCGUUAGCUGUGAAUAUAUUAGCAUGGUAUGAAGAUAAGAGUUUUCCAAUUGGUUUAAUUGGUAAUACUUUUUUAAAUAGGGACAGUUGGGGGCAUUCGUAUUUAUUUGUCAGAGGUGAAAUUCUUGGAUUUUUUAAGGACGAACUGAUGCGAAAGCAUUUGCCAAGGAUGUUUUCAUUAAUCAAGAACGAAAGU
rnacentral:rRNA from 1 species